CUAAAGAGGCUUAACAGCCCAUUCCAAAAAGCCUGCAUGGGGCAUUUGUACCCCAUAAAAUCCCUACAAGCUACAAAUGGCACUUCACUGAGGAGCACACACUGAUUGCAGUACUGCGAUGGUUAAAGACAGCAGCAGGUUUCCUACCAAGGCAUUAGAGGUGUACAACCAAAUCCCUGCAUGACUGACAGCUCCAGAACCGAUCAUGUCACCUUUCGACUCUUAUUCGGGCGACCCGCCUCCACCCCAUCUUCACCUCAUCCAGGUCGGAUAGAGAUACUUAUCCCAGUGUCAACCUGCCUUAGGUUGGGUGGUGGCCUAGAGGAGAAGAGAAGCAGAGGGUUCAUGACUGAGAGGAUGCUGGUUCAAAUCCCCGGACUGGCAUGUUCCGUCUCUGAAUGGACUGAAAAACCACCUGGCAUCUGAAACCAUCGGGGAACCCUCAGACUGGCAUGGGAAAAUUUUAAGGUGGUGAAGAUGAAGUGCUGCCACCUGUGUCCACUCUCAUUAGCACCACUGUGGGCCCUUGAGCAAGGCCCUUAACCCCUGGGUGCUCUCCAGCUGCUCCCCGCUGCACAUGUUGUGCUGCGUGUGCCCCGGUACUGUGUGUGUGAUGGGUUAAAUGCACAGACUGAAUUUCACUUCAUGUGAAUGUCACAAUAAAAUGUUAUUGUUGUUGUUCUUUAUCUCUGCUGCCACCGGCUCCUCCAGGGCUUCCUGUCCUACUUCCUACUAUUGUUGGAAUCCACUCUGUAGCUGUAAUUGCCAAACAGUUUAUUACUCUAACUCUGUAUUUCAAUAACUACUUUAAAUGAUCUCUUCUUAUUGAAUUGAUGUUCAGUAUUUUCCAU